rnacentral:rRNA from 1 species
UCAGGACGAACGCUGGCGGCGUGCUUAACACAUGCAAGUCGAGCGAUGAAGCACCUUCGGGUGUGAAUUAGCGGCGAACGGGUGAGGAACACGUGAGAAAUCUGCCUUCAACUCUGGGAUAACUCCGGGAAACCGGGGCUAAUACCGGAUAUGAGCCUUGAUCGCAUGAUCGGGGCUGGAAAGUUUUUCGGUUGAAGAUGAUCUCGCGGCCUAUCAGCUUGUUGGUGAGGUAAUGGCUCACCAAGGCGACGACGGGUAGCCGGCCUGAGAGGGCGACCGGCCACACUGGGACUGAGACACGGCCCAGACUCCUACGGGAGGCAGCAGUGGGGAAUAUUGGGCAAUGGAGGAAACUCUGACCCAGCGACGCCGCGUGAGGGAUGAAGGCCUUCGGGUUGUAAACCUCUUUCAGUAGGGAAGAAGCGAAAGUGACGGUACCUACAGAAGAAGCACCGGCUAACUAUGUG